GGAAUAUAAGAACAUUUAUCUUAACUUUUAACUAAAAAAGCUAAGAACCGGCUCUUAAAUAAGAAUUUUAAGAGACGGUUCUUAUCUUUUUUAGUUAAAAGUUAAGAGACGAAUUCUUAUAUUCC
rfam:Brassica napus, WGS project CCCW01000000 data, contig: 23580